rnacentral:rRNA from 1 species
GAGUUUGAUCAUGGCUCAGGACGAACGCUGGCGGCGUGCCUAACACAUGCAAGUCGAGCGAGUGGAGUUCUUCGGAACAAAGCUAGCGGCGGACGGGUGAGUAACACGUGGGCAACCUGCCUCAUAGAGGGGGAAUAGCCUCCCGAAAGGGAGAUUAAUACCGCAUAAGAUUGUAGCUUCGCAUGAAGUAGCAAAUUAAAGGAGCAAUCCGCUAUGAGAUGGGCCCGCGGCGCAUUAGCUAGUGGUGGGU